rnacentral:sRNA from 1 species
UCGACUCCACCGAUGUCGCCGGUGACACG